CGAAUUCGCCCUUAGAGUUUGAUCCUGGCUCAGGAUGAACGCUAGCGGCAGGCUUAACACAUGCAAGUCGAGGGGCAGCGGGGUGUAGCAAUACAUCGCCGGCGACCGGCGCACGGGUGCGUAACACGUAUGGAACUUGCCCUUUACUGGGGGAUAGCCCGGAGAAAUCCGGAUUAAUACCCCAUAACAAGCGGAGUGGCAUCACUCUGCUUUGAAAGCUCCGGCGGUAAAGGAUGGCCAUGCGCCCGAUUAGCUAGUUGGUGAGGUAACGGCUCACCAAGGCUAUGAUCGGUAGGGGGCCUGAGAGGGUUAUCCCCCACACUGGUACUGAGACACGGACCAGACUCCUACGGGAGGCAGCAGUGAGGAAUAUUGCGCAAUGGAGGCAACUCUGACGCAGCCAUGCCGCGUGCAGGAAGAAGGCGCUACGCGUUGUAAACUGCUUUUAUCCGGGAAGAAACCCCUUCACGUGUGGAGGGUUGACGGUACCGGAGGAAUAAGCACCGGCUAACUUCGUGCCAGCAGCCGCGGUAAUACGAAGGGUGCAAGCGUUAUCCGGAUUCAUUGGGUUUAAAGGGUGCGUAGGCGGAGCGUUAAGUCAGUGGUGAAAUCCUGCAGCUCAACUGUAGACUUGCCAUUGAUACUGGCGCUCUUGAGUGCGCUUGAAGUAGGCGGAAUGUGCCGUGUAGCGGUGAAAUGCUUAGAUAUGGCACAGAACACCAAUUGCGAAGGCAGCUUACUAAGGCGAUACUGACGCUGAGGCACGAAAGCGUGGGGAUCGAACAGGAUUAGAUACCCUG
rnacentral:rRNA from 1 species